AUUUUGCAAAAAUUUCAAUGCUUACCUACUAUGGCUUGUGUUCCUGUUCUCAAGACUCGUCAACAAUCAUUUUAUUAAAUACAAGAUAAAUAGCAAGUAUUUUGCUUUUUAAUUAGGCAUUGAGAACAACUACAGUUGAACCAAAGACACUAGCAUAAUUAUUAUUCUAGUGUCUUUGGUUGAACAAUAUUAUCUCGUUUUAAAUUAUCGUAUUCCCAUGGAUAACAUCUAAACGCGCAAGCAGCAAAAAAGGCCAAAGUAAUUUCAUGAUAAGGUGCAUUUUGGAACUGAAAAUGAUGUUGAACUCUUGCUCUUUUAUAUAAGAGCUAGGAUUGGAGCAACACCAAGUAGAUAAGAGAUGGAUUUAAUGGGCUUGGUAAGGUACUUGGCAGCUGAGACAAUGUGAUUAGCUAUAGUUCCGCACCAUUGUAAAAUUCAAAAGCGCUAGAGGGCGCUGUCGACAAUUUAUGUAAUUAUUAUAUGUGUGGUCGCGUCUAUGGUUGCUAACAUUUGCCAACAAUGGGCUUGUGGCAUGUAAAACAACUACAGUUAAUUUGGAUAUGGAUAUGGAUAUGGAGGCAUACAUCCCCAGCUGCAGGCAGAAGAUAAUGCCAAAAGGACAAACUAAGGGAGAUAGAAUUGCCAGGUGGCAAAGUCAGAAGUUUGACCAUUUGAUGUGCUAGAAACAACAGCAAAUAAUGCCCACAGGACAACCUAAGGGAGAUUUAAUUUUAGCGUAAGACACUUUUUCACAUACUAGCUUACUCAGCAGUAAUUUCACGACGAGCUGCAUUUUGGAACUGAAAAUGAUUUUGAAUACUUUCCCUUUUAUAUAAGACCUAGAUUAAGGCUACUUCUUGAUAAGAGAUAGAUUUAAUUAAGCUGUGGAAGUCCCUGGUCCUAAAACCGAAGCAUUGAUGGCAGUUUUUUAUAUAAUAUAAUUUUAAUGGCUUUAAAACGUAGGAACUAACAGAGGCAACGAACAUAACAUGAAUACAUAACAACAAUGAUGAACUACAAUUUUGAAUAAUAAUUUAGAUUAGUUAAUAGCAAAGGUCUCCUGGACGACGCCUCCUCAGUCUUCGACCAGUGAACGACCGCUACGUGGUUGAAAUUCUAUGUAGUAAUUAAAUAAUAUGUUCCGUGAACAUUUCAUGAUAUCAAAACUAAUCGUAUGUGUUGUCAGUGAUUGCUAGCAUUUGAUUUUUAUAAAUAAAAGACAAUUUACAGGUCAAAAGUAUUUAACUUUUUAAUUAUGCAUCAAGAACAACAACAGUGUAACUUUAACGGGAAUUCCAUAGAGAAAGGGGAUAGCUGUUACGCGGUAUCCGAUAAUCGGAAUCUUCUUCAGGAAAAAAUGUCCCAGAAGCAACAGCAAAUAAUGCCAUAAGGACAAUCUAAGGGAGAUGGAAUGUUAGCGUAAGAUACUUUUUCACUGACUAGCUAACUCACCAGUAAUUUCACGACGAGCUGCAUUUUGAAACUGAAAGUUAUUUUGAAAUCUUGCUCUUUUAUAUUAGAGCUGGAUUAUAGAUUUAUAGAUAAGAGAUCGAUUUAAUGAAACUAUAUAAAUUAAUGGUCUUAAACCAGAGGCAAUGAAUUUUAUAUUCCUGUCUACACAAUUUAAUGAUUAUGUCAAAUAUUUCCAGGAAAAAUAUUUAUAUAUUUUGAUUCAAUGGUUCAACAUCAAAAUGCUCUUAAAACUAAUAAAUAUGAAUGUACAUAUAAACGUUUGGUCUAAAAAUUAAACUUUUAAUGAUUACUUGGGUACAUGUGAUGCAUCCAAUCCUGGUUGUCAAGGUGCUUGCUUUACGUGGAAUUGUCACAAUGGUUAGAACCCACUUGUUUGUCCGCCUCCAUCCUGGCCAACAAGCGGUAGACAGACUAGCCUUGCCUGAGGAGUAUUUUUCGACAUUGGGCGGUUGUGGCAAAGGUAACAGCUCUCAAAAUCAAAUGCGGAUGCCAGAGAGUCAGCGCCGUGACUCCUCUUGAUCCUGAACUCCGAUAAUUCGGAUGUGGGUUGAAGGGAAUAAUGGUAAAUAGAACUCUACGCCCAUUACCAACCCACAUCAGUACUUGGAUAACCAUAACUAUAUCAGGGCCUCUCCACGGCAUCCAAAGGAUUCCACGCCCUGCCGGAUCCCGAGUUUCCAGAUCUUUUAAAUAUGGUACUUGGGACAAUGGGAUUAGCUAUAAUUCCGCAUUAUGGUGGAAUGCAAAAGGUCUAUAGGUCGCUGUCGCCAAUGUAUGUAUUGGUCAAUCAUUUUAUUAAAUCAAAUCUAUCAAAUGGGCUUGUGUUCGUGUUUUUAAGACCCAUCACCAAUCAUUUUAAUAUAUAAAAGAAAAUUAUCAAGUUACAAGUAUUUUACUUUUUAAUUAGGCAUUUAGAACGACUACUGUUUUUAGUUCGUUAUUAACUCAAUAGCUCCACGGAUUGCAGUGCCAGGUUCUCUUCCUCCUGCGUCUGUAGUAGUAUCCUUCAUCGCAAUCUUCAUACCAGUAGUAUUGGCUAGAAACUACAGCAAAUAAUGCCAAAAGGACAAU